UACGUAGGGUGCGAGCGUUGUCCGGAAUCAUUGGGCGUAAAGAGCGUGUAGGUGUUCGUUCAAGUCGGUCGUUAAAUCUUAGAGCUCAACUCUAAGACCGCGAGCGAUACUGAGUGAAUUGAGGUUUGCAGGGGCUAGCAGAAUUCCUGGAGUAGGGGUGAAAUCCGUUGAUACCAGGAGGAAUACCAAUGGCGAAGGCAGCUAGCUGGGCAACACCUGACACUGAGACGCGAAAGCGUGGGGAGCGAACGGG
rnacentral:rRNA from 1 species